rnacentral:lncRNA from 1 species
UAAGCUGUUUCCUGGGACUGGAGCCGGUUGCCAUUGUCCUUAAGGGCAGGACUGCAGCCUCUUACCGUUCCACACCCACAGCCUUCAGCUUAGGUUAUCUCUGAAGAGACAAAGAGCCUUCCACCCAUAGCCCACAUCAGUAACUUGCUUUCUUGGGUAGAUUCAUCCGAUGAAUUUAUGAACCCUUGUAAAAAUGAAAAAUAUGAAUCUGCUGCAUUUUUCAUAAUUUCUGGAUUACAACUCAAAUUAAGUGAACAGUUCAAGCAAUUGGGCUCUGGAUGUUCUCAAAUCAUUGCAAAUUUUUGAAGCAGCAAGGCCAGCAGCCACACCAUAGUAGUUAAAAGUGACAGGAGCUGUGGCUUUUAAUGGGUUCCUAUAAAACCAAUGGGUCAUUUUUCCCAGAUAUUGACGCACUUCAGAGUUGUACAGCAGUCCUCCUGAGGGUAGAAAGGCAAUUCCCAAGUGCACAAGCAAGAAAAAGGGAGUCGGGACACCGAGGCUACCCAACUGGAGGGAAAGGAAACCAGGCCAAGCCCAGCGGGGGUCACGUGGCCCGGGCGGCCAUGACGGCUACCGAGGCGGAAGCGCGCCGCUGAAAGGCGGAGGCGGCCCCGCGGUCAAAGCCCCCCAAGAACACCCCGUGCAUCAGCCUUCCCUGCCUUCUCCUCCACGGCUUAUCUCUCGAAGGGCGGCACUUCCCCGUAGAGGAGCGGAAGGGUCGGCCAGGCCUCCCAAGCCGAGGAAGAUGCGUCGGUAGCGAUCAAGAAUGUAUUUUUAGGAGCCAGUGUCUGUUCUCUGUAUACAGCUGUUGCUCAGGCAAAUGGUCUGUUCAUUGCUUACUAGUGAUUUAGCAAAAUUCCAAAAGCAGCUGAAGCAGCACCUGAAAGAGUUAAACUCUCAAGUCCAGUUGCAGGUAGGACAAAACUCUUGGCAAGUGCUCAACUUGGUAACUUCCACAGUACAAAGUUCUGGGAACUGAGCCAAGAGAGGGCUCACCAGAAUAAGGACAAAAUUGUUUUUGUACCCAGACAACAAGGGGGGCUGUUUUGAAAACUGUGGAUUCCACUUAACCUAAUCUAUCUGAAUGUAGGGAACCUCCCUUAGCCGCUACAGAUGAGGGGCC